UGAACGCUGGCGGCGUGCCUAAUACAUGCACGUCGAGCGAACAGACGAGGAGCUUGCUCCUCUGACGUUAGCGGCGGACGGGUGAGUAACACGUGGAUAACCUACCUAUAAGAAUGGGAUAACUUCGGGAAACCGGAGCUAAUACCGGAUAAUAUAUUGAACCGCAUGGUUUAAUAGUGAAAGACGGUUUUGCUGUCACUUAUAGAGGGAUCCGCGCCGCAUUAGCUAGUUGGUAAGGUAACGGCUUACCAAGGCAACGAUGCGUAGCCGACCUGAGAGGGUGAUCGGCCACACUGGAACUGAGACACGGUCCAGACUCCUACGGGAGGCAGCAGUAGGGAAUCUUCCGCAAUGGGCGAAAGCUUGACGGAGCAACGCCGCGUGAGUGAUGAAGGUCUUCGGAUCGUAAAACUCUGUUAUUAGGGAAGAACAAAUGUGUAAGUAACUAUGCACGUCUUGACGGUACCUAAUCAGAAAGCCACGGCUAACUACGUG
rnacentral:rRNA from 1 species